rnacentral:lncRNA from 1 species
GAAAAACCACAAAGAAAGAGGCAUAUGAAAAGUGAAAAAAAUACAGAGCUGGAGGUGAACCUAAACACUCAGAGGUAAUUUGCCUUGAGGAGCAAGAGCCCUUGAGACCUAUGUGUAGACUUUGGAAAAAAGAACCUGUGAACAAUAGUAAAGGCUAUGAAAGUACCAUCCCUCUGACAGGUUGUCUUCUAACUGGAAAAUGAAGAGUCAAAAAGUCCUGAGGCCUUUCUGCCCUUCUCACUGAAAGGAAAAUGAACAGCCUGGUCAUGGGAUGAAUGUUGUCUUGGGUCACCAUCAAGAUCCUGACCUGCCUAAAUGAUGUGACACAAGGAAAGAGGCAGAAUUCCUCAGUGAUCCUUCUGGAGCAGCCUCUCACUUUACAGCCCUCUGAAUCAUCCUCACAUCCUCACCUGGCACCAGGCACCGAAGAUGCAG